ACACUCCUGCGGGAGGCAGCAGUGGGGAAUUUUGGACAAUGGGCGAAAGCCUGAUCCAGCCAUGCCGCGUGCAGGAUGAAGGCCUUCGGGUUGUAAACUGCUUUUGUACGGAACGAAACGGCCUUUUCUAAUAAAGAGGGCUAAUGACGGUACCGUAAGAAUAAGCACCGGCUAACUACGUGCCAGCAGCCGCGGUAAUACGUAGGGUGCAAGCGUUAAUCGGAAUUACUGGGCGUAAAGCGUGCGCAGGCGGUUAUGUAAGACAGUUGUGAAAUCCCCGGGCUCAACCUGGGAACUGCAUCUGUGACUGCAUAGCUAGAGUACGGUAGAGGGGGAUGGAAUUCCGCGUGUAGCAGUGAAAUGCGUAGAUAUGCGUAGGAACACCGAUGGCGAAGGCAAUCCCCUGGACCUGUACUGACGCUCAUGCACGAAAGCGUGGGGAGCAAACAGGAUUAGAAACCCGAGUAGUCCCAUGAU
rnacentral:rRNA from 1 species